rnacentral:rRNA from 1 species
AUUGAACGCUGGCGGCAGGCCUAACACAUGCAAGUCGAACGGUAACAGGAAGAAGCUUGCUUCUUUGCUGACGAGUGGCGGACGGGUGAGUAAUGUCUGGGAAACUGCCUGAUGGAGGGGGAUAACUACUGGAAACGGUAGCUAAUACCGCAUAACGUCGCAAGACCAAAAAGGGGGACCUUCGGGCCUCUUGCCAUCGGAUGUGCCCAGAUGGGAUUAGCUAGUAGGUGGGGUAACGGCUCACCUAGGCGACGAUCCCUAGCUGAUCUGAGAGGAUGACCAGCCACACUGGAACUGAGACACGGUCCAGACUCCUACGGGAGGCAGCAGUGGGGAAUAUUGCACAAUGGGCGCAAGCCUGAUGCAGCCAUGCCGCGUGUAUGAAGAAGGCCUUCGGGUUGUAAAGUACUUUCAGCGGGGAGGAAGGGAGUAAAGUUAAUACCUUUGCUCAUUGACGUUACCCGCAGAAGAAGCACCGGCUAACUCCGUG